CGAGCCCGAGCCCCAGCGGGCGGCGGCGGCGGAGGCGGGGGUUGCUGCGGGGGUCAAGGGCGGCCCCUCGCGGCGAUCCUCGGCGGUACACGCGGAGGCUGCGCUCCGGCCCCGGCAAGCGAAAGGGAGGGGAGGCAUGGAGGCUAGGAGCGGGAAGGACGGGGGAGCGGCCGGCUUGGUCUCCUCUCCGGUCGCCACCAUCACCACCGGCGGAUAGGCUGCGAUGGCGAUGGAGGGGCGGGCCCUGGAUUCCGCGUUCCGCGAGUUCAGAGUAGACUACGAGCAAGCCAAGCAACUCGCCGUCGGCGUCGCCGUCCACUCCGAUGCCUUCCCCACCGGUGGCCACAUGUGGAGGGCUGAGGAGGCGGCCCCGACGUGGUGCAGUGGAUGCAGAAGUGAUGUCGGCGAUCGAGGACGCCGGCGUCGAGGGCGCAAAGGUCGUGUCGGUGAAGUGGUCGACGAUGGAGGCGCAGUGCAGAAGGCGGCGGCGCUUCCGGUCGCUCACAGCACUCCCUAGAUCGGAUUAGGGUUUAUCGGUGGGUUUAGGGGGCACAGCGAACUUUGGCGUCCAUGCCCCUGCAGCCCCCACCUUAUCUUAUAUAGCGUUGGGCGAUGGGGGCCCACCAACCACAUCUCGGUUGGAUGUCCCCGAUCAUAGCGCGAUCAGGACUCCGACUCGGUAACGACCGAGUCGGACGAGAUCAACCCUAACAAUGCCUUGCUUGGAGAUGACGAACUUGGGGACUCUCCCUCUGAGAUGUUGCAGCAGCUACUAGCUGCGGCUGACCGGUACGAAUUGGAACAGCUGAAGCUUAUAUGUGCAAGAAAUUGGGUGA